CAGGACGUGGCUGAGCAUUUAAGCAUCUCACUUACACCGAGAAGACAUCCAUGAAAAUUGGAUCGCCCUGA
rnacentral:tRNA from 1 species